AUAUAUCUAGACAUCGCGGCAUUAUAAUGGCGGCACUGUAAACUUCUGCAAGAGCCCGAAAGUUGAUUUACCCGCAGUAUGAAGAUUUGUGCAGUGCAUUAAACGCGCGAGUAUAUCGAGGAUCACGACGAGGAUGCCGGCGCAGGAAGUCGCGGUGCCGCAGCCGCCGCCGGCCGCUGAGAACGAAGAGAACAACGUUCCCUCUUCGCAACCUAUUGUGGGCAUCAUCUACCCGCCACCUGAGGUUAGGAACAUCGUUGACAAAACCGCUAGCUUCGUCGCUAGAAACGGUCCAGAGUUCGAGUCGAGGAUCAGGCAGAACGAGCUGGGCAAUCCCAAGUUCAACUUCUUGAACUUCGGUGAUCCCUACCAUGCCUACUACCAGCACAAGGUGAAGGAGUUCAAGGAGGGAAAGGGCCAGGAGCCCACAGUGGGCUCCGCACCCGGGAAGACCGUUCCUCUAGCCGCGCAUCAGAAGCAGCAGGAGAUCUUGAAGCAGGUCGAGCAGCCGUUUGUUCCCAAAGAUCCACCGGUCGAGUUUGAGUUCAUCGCUGACCCACCGUCCAUCUCAGCCUUGGACCUGGACAUCGUGAAGCUGACCGCGCAAUUCGUCGCUCGUAACGGAAGGCAGUUCCUGACGAAUCUGAUGAACCGGGAGCAGAGGAACUUCCAGUUCGACUUCCUGCGUCCCCAGCACUCCCUGUUUCAGUACUUCACAAAACUCCUGGAACAAUAUACCAAAGUUCUAAUUCCGCCCAAGGACCUGUUGCCGCGGCUCAAGGACGAGGCGUUCAACAUGGACAAGAUCUUGGAGCAGGUGAAGUACCGCGCCGAGUACCUGAAGUAUCAAGAGGCCCAGAGGCGGAAGGAGGAGGAGGAAUUGGAGAGGGAGAGGGUCGCCUACGCGCAGAUCGACUGGCACGACUUCGUCGUCGUCGAGACCGUGGACUACCAGCAGUUCGAGGUCGGCAACUUCCCGGCGCCGACCACGCCGGACGAGGUUGGCGCCCGCGUUCUCAUGCAGGAACGCAUAGAGGACGGCGAGGACGUGGAGAUGCAGAUCGACAGCGACGCGGAAGACGAAGCGCAGGCGCGUGCGGACGGCGAGAAGGGCGAUCGCGCGAAGGACAACAACCAGGUACAAGACAUGGAGGAAGAUUCCAGCGACGAGGACAACGUAUCGCCGCCGGGCGACACUCACAAGUCGAAGGAGGCGAAACCGCGCGAAGCGAACAUGCAGCCACCGCCGUUGCCGCCGACGCCGGGCAACGUGGUGGUCAAGAAGGGAUACGAUCCGAAGCAGCACUCGACCAAGAUUAUCCGCUCCGCGGCUCCGGACGAGUACCUCAUCUCACCGAUCACCGGCGAGCGCAUUCCCGCCAGCAAGGUGCAGGAGCACAUGCGCAUCGGUCUGCUGGAUCCUCGCUGGGUCGAGCAGAGGGACAAGCACCUGGACAAGCUGGCACAGGAGACCGUGUUCGCGCCGGGCACCGCGAUCGAGGCGAGCCUCAAGCAGCUCGCCGAGCGGCGUACCGAUAUAUUCGGUGUCGGUGACGAGGAGACGGCGAUCGGCAAGAAGAUCGGCGAGGAGGACAAGAAGAAGGACGACAAGGUCACGUGGGACGGUCACACGUCGAGCGUCGAGGCCGCCACGAGAGCGGCGCGCGCGAACAUCACCCUCGAGGAACAGAUCCACCAGAUUCACAAGGUGAAGGGUCUGCUGCCCGACGAGGAGAAGGAGAAGAUCGGACCGAAACCGGUGAGCCGCACCACCGAGCUCUCGCACAUGGCUGCGGCGGCCUCCAAGCCGCAAGCCACUCUGAAAGCGCCGCCAAAACCGCCGGCGCCGAAGCCGAUACCGGUGCCCGCACAACCACCGCCACCACCGACCAUGAGCAUGCCUCCGAUGGGCAUACCGCAGCCGAUGAUGCCGCAGCCGCCGAUGAUGAUGAUGGCGCCCAUGCCGCCGAUGGCACCCCGGCCGCCACCUCUCAUGACUCCAGCGAUGUCGCCGUUCAUGCCAGCGCCGCCGCCGAUACAACCCCCAAUGUCAUCCGCCAUCGGAUUGAAGCAUCCCGCUAAUAAGCCGCUGGAGGAAGAGCCGCAGGCCAAAAAACUGAGAACCGAGGACUCGCUAAUUCCGGAACAACAGUUCCUCGCCAGGAAUAAGGGUCCUGCGCAGGUUAACAUCGUCGUGCCCAUGAUGACGGAGAAGGCCGAGUGGAAGCUGAACGGACAGAAGUUGAACAUCACCCUACAACUGAGCGAUACCGUGGCGACUAUGAAGGCGCUCAUUCACGAGCAGACCGGCAUGCCGCCCGGCAAGCAGAAGUUGCAAUACGAGGGAAUGUUCUUCAAGGACAGCAACACCCUCGCGUAUUACAAUCUAUCUUCGGGUAACACCAUCAAUCUGUUGCCAAAGGAGAGAGGCGGUAGGAAGAAGUAAAGUAGUAAGAAGGAUUACCUGUGCGCAUCCGGAGACGGCGGAGACCUUGCUGAAGUCGACGCCGCAGACGCGCAGUUUGUCCAGUAUCAGGUCCAGGGCCUUGACCCACAUGAGAGUAGGCACCACGACUACGUGAGGCGCCUCCACCUUCUGUAUCACUCCUCCGAUUCUCGAGCGCGUACCUAAAUUCCGGGAGAUCAUUGUCGAAUUGCACGCUGGUCUGGUGGAGGACAGCUAGACUAUCGUCGACCACCACCGCUUUCAGCUGAAAUCAGAGAACGCGGGUAGAUAUUAUAAAUACGCGUUUUCAGGAAUACAUCAAUUUAUUUCUCAAAUUCCGAAUCUCCAAUGAAAAAUUAACAUUCUUGGAUAUAAAAGGACAUUUUAAUCAACAACUCUUGAAAAUAGAAAAUAUCUUAAACUCUGAAG
rnacentral:misc_RNA from 1 species